CGAGCCUGGUUCCAGGAGCAGAUGGCGAAUGGCUUCCCCACCCUGGGAGCCUGCACCCAUGGGGACCAGCGUUAGGGCCAGGGAGAAGGUCUUCAAAACACUGUCUCCCCUCCUCGCUUUUGGGAGCAAAUUCGGGCUGCACCAGCAAGAGAAAUGUUCCCCCGGGAUCUGGUAUUGAUGAUGUGACUGUGAAGGCUGAGCACAGUUAGGAACCAGCCCAGAGACCACAUCGCUGAACAGGAACAAGAGCCAGGAGUCAACUCCAUCAUCUGUGCUAAAGCUCACGCUCCUAACAACUGUGGCGCAUUGCCAUCUUUCCAGUGGUUAAUCUGGGAUAUUUUGAACAUCAAAUGUUUUCUUCCAUCCUCUUCUUUGGGGGCUAAAGAUGGUAGGCAGUGUUGACUGGAGAGCCAGGGACUGGUUGUCUGGUGGUGACAAUGGGCAAAGAGAUAAUGGGUAGCUGGGCCCUUGGGGAGGCAAAGAAAGGUCCUUGGUUAACCUGUAGGGAAUUAACCUGAUUAAGUUGUAGGGGACUUCCCUGCUGGUCUAAGUGGUUAAGAAUCUGCGUUCUAAUUCAGGGGACUCAGGUUCGAUCCCUGGUGGGGGACUAAGAUCCCAUAUGCCACGAGGCAUCUAAGCUCGCGUGCUACGACUACCGAGCCCAUGUGCUUCAAGGUCCAUGUGCCACAAUGAAAGAUCCUGUCUGCCGCCAACUAAGACCAGAUUCAGCCAA